rnacentral:tRNA from 1 species
GCGGAUGUAGCUCAGUUGGUAGAGCAUCAGUUUGUGGCAUUGAGGGUCGCCGGUUCGAGCCCGGUCAUUCGCCCCA